CUUUUUUUUUUUGAUAAAUUCGGGAUCGGGUGUUAGGAACAAUGCCUUUGUGAUUCUCAUUUUUGACCACACAAUUUUGUUUUUUCUCGGUUUCACCCUGUCACUUAAAUACAUGACACGCAUCACUAUUAAACCGAUUAUCAUUCCUCUUUGCCUUCGUCUUUCCCUUAAUUUUUGUUUUCUUCUUCGUCUUUUCUUUGCUUCCAAGAACUUUGUGGUUUCUCGGUGCAGUGAUUUUUGAGGUUUCGCAACGACGCGGACGGUUGUUUCGUCACACCCAACCAUCGGUUUCAAGCAGAUAUCUAUUUUGAUUUGGGAGUUGAGUAUGUUAUCUAUGUUCUGUACGUGGUCAUACCUGUUUUUUUUUAUGCUUAGAAGCAAUUCUCUGUUUCGAUUUUGGGUUAGUUGUUUUUUUUUUUCAAUUUUUGGUCUCGGGCUCCACCAUCAAUCACUUUGGGUUAGGGUUGGAUUUACUUUCACUAUUUAUGAAUUGUCUAAUUUUGGUCUCAGAUACGUAGUAUCAGUAUUACAAAUUGUAUCAAUUGUUCAUCUAAUUAGGAUAGCAAUCUUGAUAUACCUAUUCCUUCUAUCAAGGUGACGAUCCUUCAAUUUCAGAUUAGCACUUAAAAUCUGAAGGUAAGAUGUAGAGGUUAAGGUAUAGAAGAUGGGUGAAUUUCAGAGGUCUGUUGUUUGUAGAAUUGCUUCCUUAAGUAUCUGUUGUUUCGUUUCUUUCAUGUCUGUUGGUGUGUUCCAUAUUUUUGUUUAUUCUGAUGAUGUUUUUUUGUGCUUUGCAGGUUAUAUAGUGUAUCUGUGUGAUUUUUGUUGUCAAUCUGCUUACUCUGGCUUUACUAACAUCCCAUGGUUUUGGUUACAAAUUGUAAAAAAAAAUAAAAAAAACUGUCCAUCAAUUGUUAAAGGACUUUACAUGGUCUUUGUUACACAGAGAAAUUUCAUUUCUUUCAACAUAGAGUUCUCAAAGAAGGUCUAUGUAUGAUUUACCUUUUAUACUUCCACAAUUGUGAAUUGAUGUGUUGUAUCUAGGCCUUUAAUGGUAGGAAAAAUGAGUUUCAACAAUGUGAGGAUACCUGGGAUGCCUAAUGGUAGUGCAGCUUCUGCAUUGCUAAAGUUUGGAGACAUUGUUGGUAUUGUAUAGUAUGCUUAAAGAAUGAUAGUCAAUGCAAGGAAGAAAACAGAGCAUUGGUGGAGGUUACACAUCAUCACCCACCAUUUACACUUCCUUUUACACGACGUGAUGAAAUCUCUGUAUGAAUGGAAAGAAAACAAACUGACAUAAAGUUAUAGGAGGGGACUCUAGGUCAUUUUGUAUUUAUUUAUUUACAGAAAGUUAUUUAGCUAAAAUAAUCUAA